GACGUAGGGCGCGAGCGUUGUCCGGAUUUAUUGGGCGUAAAGAGCUCGUAGGCGGCUCGUUGCGUCGGCUGUGAAAACCCACAGCUUAACUGUGGGCCUGCAGCCGAUACGGGCGAGCUAGAGUUCGGUAGGGGAGACUGGAAUUCCUGGUGUAGCGGUGAAAUGCGCAGAUAUCAGGAGGAACACCGGUGGCGAAGGCGGGUCUCUGGGCAGUAACUGACGCUGAGGAGCGAAAGCGUGGGGAGCGAACAGG
rnacentral:rRNA from 1 species